rnacentral:lncRNA from 1 species
AAGAAGACCAAGUUAACUCGUCCUACAUAUCUAAAUCAAACUCUUAUUAGUGAUUCAACUUUAAGGUUAUUUAAGUAAUGUUUAUGCUAGAUAUCGAAGGGGUGAGAUGAGAGUCAGAGUAUGCAGUUUCAGGAUCUAUGAGUCUCAAAAGAAAGGCGGAGAUUGAAAGGUUUGGAGAAGGUGAAAAUGAGAGAGAAAUGGGCAGAUCUUGGACAAGAGUGAGUAAAAAAGGCUUAGCAUGAAAAAUGAAUUGGAGACUAUUUAUAGCCUCCAAUUCAGUGUGUAAUUAAUGUCCAGCUACCCUUGAUUAAGGCGGUCCAGUGGUAGCGAGCCACAUUGGCAAAUCACCCUUUGCUUUCUCUUUUCUAUUGAUGGCUUUGCGUCUGUGAAUGACAUCAUAUAGAAUACCCCUCAUUCCUACUCUACAAACAGAACAGAACUACUCCUCUCCUUCCCAACCCAUUCAACCAGGAGAAAUUUAGAAUCAAGAUUUCCUUCCAGGAGAUUGCCUCUGGAAUACAAUUGUCAAUAAUUGAUAAAAUCGUUGUUUCAAUACUCUGUUAUGAUGAAUUGGAGAAGAAGGUGAGGUAAUUUGAAUAGUCAAAAUUCACAAAAGCUUUCUUUAUCAACUUUGUUUAUCUCUCUCUUUCUCUCAAAUUCUUCUUCGAAAUCUUUUAAUUCAGAAUUAGGGUUUGAAGAAGUUUAUUUUUAAAUAUCUUCUUCUUCUCCUUCAUCAAUGACAAUCACAACCAUCAAUUCAUCAUCAACCCCAAAUCUCGACCUAGAUUCAAUCCCAAUCGUUGAUCUAUAUGUGUUAACACAAUCAGAAGUCAAUUCCUUAUCUCUUUGUUCAAGGAAAUCUGUAGAUCUUAAAAGAUCGUUCAUUUUUUAAUGAAAGUGCAGGUAGUCGUACACAAAAAUAUACUACUCGUCUUCAUCUUGCUCCUUGUAAACCUGAAAUUUCAGCUGUUGGUCAUGGUCGUGAAAUUGUUUCUUUAUUAAGAGAUUUAUUUAGGAAUGAUAGUGGAAUCAAGUUGAAAAUAAGAAUUUGGAAUUAGCUAUUGUUGAAACUGGAUCCUUUAUCAAAAAUAAAAACUGGAUUUGUUGAUGAACAAUAAUUUUGGUAUUAAUUUU